UACGGAGGGGGCUAGCGUUGUUCGGAAUUACUGGGCGUAAAGCGCACGUAGGCGGCUUUGUAAGUUAGAGGUGAAAGCCCGGAGCUCAACUCCGGAAUUGCCUUUAAGUACUGCAUCGCUAGAAUUGUGGAGAGGUGAGUGGAAUUCCGAGUGUAGAGGUGAAAUUCGUAGAUAUUCGGAAGAACACCAGUGGCGAAGGCGACUCACUGGACACAUAUUGACGCUGAGGUGCGAAAGCGUGGGGAGCAAACAGG
rnacentral:rRNA from 1 species